GCAAGUCGAGCGAAUGGAUUAAGAGCUUGCUCUUAUGAAGUUAGCGGCGGACGGGUGAGUAACACGUGGGUAACCUGCCCAUAAGACUGGGAUAACUCCGGGAAACCGGGGCUAAUACCGGAUAACAUUUUGAACCGCAUGGUUCGAAAUUGAAAGGCGGCUUCGGCUGUCACUUAUGGAUGGACCCGCGUCGCAUUAGCUAGUUGGUGAGGUAACGGCUCACCAAGGCAACGAUGCGUAGCCGACCUGAGAGGGUGAUCGGCCACACUGGGACUGAGACACGGCCCAGACUCCUACGGGAGGCAGCAGUAGGGAAUCUUCCGCAAUGGACGAAAGUCUGACGGAGCAACGCCGCGUGAGUGAUGAAGGCUUUCGGGUCGUAAAACUCUGUUGUUAGGGAAGAACAAGUGCUAGUUGAAUAAGCUGGCACCUUGACGGUACCUAACCAGAAAGCCACGGCUAACUACGUGCCAGCAGCCGCGGUAAUACGUAGGUGGCAAGCGUUAUCCGGAAUUAUUGGG
rnacentral:rRNA from 1 species